UACAGAGGUCUCAAGCGUUGUUCGGAUUCAUUGGGCGUAAAGGGUGCGUAGGCGGCGAAGCAAGUCUGAUGUGAAAUCCCGGGGCUCAACCCCGGAACUGCAUCGGAUACUGCUUUGCUAGAGUACUGGAGAGGAGACUGGAAUUUACGGUGUAGCAGUGAAAUGCGUAGAUAUCGUAAGGAAGACCAGUGGCGAAGGCGAGUCUCUGGACAGUUACUGACGCUGAGGCACGAAGGCCAGGGGAGCAAACGGG
rnacentral:rRNA from 1 species